AGAAUCAACGCUGGCGGCGUGCCUAACACAUGCAAGUCGCACGAGAAAGGGGCUUCGGCCCUGAGUAAAGUGGCGCACGGGUGAGUAACACGUGAAUAAUCUACCUCUGAGUGGGGAAUAACUGAGAGAAAUCUUAGCUAAUACCGCAUAAUACUUACGAGUCAAAGCAGCAAUGCGCUUGGAGAGGAGUUCGCGGCCGAUUAGUUAGUUGGCGGGGUAAUGGCCCACCAAGACGAUGAUCGGUA
rnacentral:rRNA from 1 species